rnacentral:lncRNA from 1 species
UUUCACAAAUUGUUGUUUCAGGCUAAAUACACUGGAUGUUAAGUUAUGAUUAUGAUGCACUUCCGUUUGUUUGUUUGUGUGUGUGAGCAGCGCAGGGUGUGAUACGGACCAACAGCUGCCAGUCAGACAGCAGUGGUUUUUUAGAGGAGCCCUUCAUCCCCUCCGUCUCUCUGCAGGCGUCACCCGGACCUGGACUCAUCAAGGCUCUGUCAGGCCUGUCAGGAGGGGGCACUGACAGCCAGAGCAGUGAGAGGCCAGGCUCCCCCUCUCAUUCCUUCCCUCAUACCACUUCAUCUCUCCUGCUCUUCUCAUCUCCGACCUCUUCUGGUGUUGACAAAUCUCUAAUUUCCUCAUGCAGUUCUUCACCAGAGCCUUCAUUAGUCUUUCCCCCUUCCACAUCUCCCGUCUCGUUGUGUUUCCCAAAAUGUAAAAGGCAAAAUUCAGAGACAGAGACACCACCAGAUCAGAAUACGUCUUCACCUACUUCGCUACCUGCAUUGGUGUGCGACUACUUUGCUCCUUGCUAUCCCUCACCCGAGUUACAGGACGUAACACACUCCCGAACUCCAACUCUCGGUUCUCCUGCCGCCUUCACCUCUCUCUCCCCUACAUCUUCCCUGAUGCAACCUGCCUCAUUGAUUCGAGGGUCAGAGGACAUUGAAACUGAAGACAAGGAUGCUGCAUCCCCCCACCUCUCGCCUCUAUUUCAUGACUCAGCAUGGACAAGUGCCCCUCCUCCUGCCUCAUCUCCUUCUCCCUCUCCAAAUUUGGAUUGUCCCGUUCUCUGCCUCGAUUGCUAUGUCUUGUACACAGUCUGACUCCUCCUCUGGGAGUCCAGGGAACACACAGUCAGAACUGACUGAGGUGGCUUCGCAUGGGAACUCCCUCUCUGCUUCUAUUGUAUUAUCAUCUCUGCUUCCCUCUUCGUCCUCUUUACCUCCCCCUGUCUUUUCUGAUUCAAAUUGUCCUCCCUCUUUAGCCUCUCCCCGACUAACUGAGUCCCUCUCACAGAGUCCAGAAGAAAAUCUAAAAGAGUCCAUUGUCCCAGACUUAAAUGGAACAGGCCUUUCUGAUCCAUUUACCAAUACACAAAAGAAAGAGGAAAAAACACCCUCCUCACUCUCCUCGCUCUCCUCAGACAUGUCGGACAACAUCCAUCCCUCAGCGUCAUCCUCUCUCGUCCUGGAGUUUGAGGAACUUUGUCCCACGCUGCCCUGCCUUUUGCCUAACCCUUCCUUUCCAGUUUGUCAUUCUGCCUUGUCAUCACAAUCACAUGAUUCAGAUGGUCUGAUAGUUCCAGCUGUUGAAAGAAUUUCAGACCUGACAGAGCAGUCCAUCUCCCAACAGGACAGACCAAGUUAUCAUGAUGAUAAUACAAACCCUGCUCCAGCGUUUCCUGUCCAAGAUGUUUUUCAUGCUCAGAAGAAUCACCUCUCCUUGGACUUGGAGGACACCCAUCAGAGGAAUGGAACGGGAGGGUUAGAGGGUGAGAGACAUACUGACACUGUGCAGACUCGAGAGACUGUUGUUUACAUCUCAGAUACGGAGAGUUCUGCAGACCUGUCAGAAGGUUCUAGAUUAGUCUCUAAGGAAGUAUGUAACCAAACAGAAAUAGAUCCAAAGGUCUUGUCCUGUAGUUUGCAUGACAAGCUCUCAACUGGAACCCAACCGGAAGAGUGUCAAAGGGAAGUUAAUGGCUCAGAAAGUGAAUCACUCAGAAGUUCUUUAGUUUUACUUGAUGUUGUGCCAGAAACACACAGUAUAACUGAAGUGGAACCAAAGGAUCUAAUCAGGAUUGAGAGCUUAGAUCUGGUAUUUCAAACCUCAGUGGAUGGCUCGGAAGAGGAAAAUGGAGAUAUGGAGGCUUUUUUUCAGCAGCUUGAUACUGAAGGGCGAGCCUACUGGGCAGAACCCAUCCUGGUAUCCAAUGCAUCCCCUGUGCUUGAGGAGUCAGACAGCUUUGUUCUAGAUGAAUCUUCAUCCACCGACAGAGCUAUGACUUUAUCUGCAUCAUCCUCAACAACAAUAGACACUAACCAGACUUCAAGAGAUGCAACUGCCUCCUCAGACACACCCUCCUCCUUGAGUCUUCCAUUAGCAUCCCCUGUGGGAGCCCCAGACCCCAAGCCAUCAAGCUGCUCUGUUUCUGUCCAGAUGUCUUCAUCUCCCUCUUCUCAUAUUGUCCACAGGACGGAUGUUCCCUACAUGACUGACUCAAAAUGCACCCUUCUGCCUAGUGUCCUCCCUUUGGACACCUCCACCCCUUUCCGCGCUGUCCAGUCAUGGACAGACCUGCAGAUCCAACGAAACACUCACACCCAGAAGUUAUCACAUGGGGCUCUUCAUGCUGCCCCAAAGGAAGCCGUAUCCACGUGUGCCACAGACACGACACCUGCGCUGGACUCCUCUUCGUCUCCAUAUUUCCCUCUGAUGUCUAAUGACUCGCAGUCACAAGAGUCUCUUCCUGGAAAGGCUAGAAAUGACCAUCCUAUUUCCGUCUCUGUGGAUAAAGGGCUGUGGGCUGAUGAGGACGAAGAGGUGGACAAGAAUGGAAUUGAAGAUGAGGAGAGGUUUUGGGAGGGCAAUCAGACUGCCACCGUGGCAUGCUGCCGCUCCUGUGACCAUCAGUGUACCUGUACUCGGAAGAGCUACGACGAGCAACACGCUCUAGGAAACAAUUCUUACUCUCUGGAUGAGUUGGAGGAGAUGAUGCUGUGUCUGCAGCGGUUUCGUUCUGUACUCGGUAACAUGGAGGAGCAGCUCUCUGAAGAUCAGGCUGCAGUUUACAAUGCUCUGUCUGACCAGGACAGGUACACAGCAUAGUUUAAAAAGCUCUGUUUGGACCCUGACAUGUUGCACUUUGUGUCAGCAUUAAGGGUACAACACUUUACACUCUGACAACAUUGGACUUCAGUUUGUGAAGUUGUCUGCCCCUGACAUGUACAUGGAACCUCUGUCACUGACAGCAGGAGGAUUAUACGCUCUGUCUCUUUACUCAGAAACAAAACAGACACUAGUGAUAGCAGUGUGAUACAGAAGCUUCAAUACGUGCUUCAAACCCAGAACUGCAAUUCCAUAGUAACUGCUUCAUUGCCUGAAUGAAUUGCCGGACUGGUUCGCGGUCCAAUCAGGUGAUUCGCUGGCACUGCCUCAUCUCGAUUCUGACAGGUUGAGACAGUUUUGAAUUUGUGGGUUGUUGUCGUCGUAGUAUGCGUUGCUGUUGAGUUGUUGGUAUUGCGUUUGUAUUGGAUCAUUAUGGAGACUAGCGAAACAAUUGUUAUGCAUGCCAGCAUCAACUGUUCCUUGUGAGCAAGUAAAGAAACCAAAUCUACAUCCCACAUUUUCAUGCCCUGCUCCGGUGACGCAGCUCGUAGAGCAGGCAUCCCUCAUUCAAAGGCUUCCUGCAGCGGCCUGGUGUUUGAAUCCGACCCGUGGCCAUUUGCUGCAUGUCAUUCCCCUUCUCUCUAUCCAAUCUUAAACUAAAGGUGUAAAAAAGCCCAACAUUUUCACAAUCAAUCUUUAUUUUUAAAUAGAACAUGAUAUUCAGUCUUAGAUGUGUUCGUCAAAGAACUUUCAAGGCAAAGAUACUUUAAAUCCACUGCAGCCUUGCUAUUCACCAGUAGAGGUCACUGUACCUGAAGCUUCGAGUAAUGAACACAUUUUCGAAAACAAUUGGCUGAAGUGGUUCAGUGCUUCACAAAAGCUUCAUUUGCCCAUCACUAACAGACACGUCUCCUUGUUAAACAACAGCAACUCAAGCACCUAAAAGAUACAUUCUCUCUAUAAUAGCACCUCCAUGUCCAACAAGAGUAUUAAUAUAUACAGUGCGUGUAGAUUCAAUCACGUUUACAUGAAAAGAAUCCUCUGUUGUCAUCAUAACAGUGAAUCAUUCUUGAAAUGUAUUUGCAAAAAGCAAACAAUAAGUGUGUGUGUGUGUGUGUGUGUGUGUGUGUGUGUGUGUGUGUGUGUAGGGAGAAGGUUCAGGACAUAGAGGAGCUGAGGCGAGCAGUGAAACAGGAGGCUGGGGAGCUGGAGAUGCAGUUGAAUGAACUGGCCCAUCACUAUGAUGACAGCUUGAAAAUGGUAACACACUUUGACACGCUUAUAAAAAGCACCUAUAGAAAUGAUGUGCAAAAUUAAAGGGGGGGGGGGGAGGGAGUUUUCCAAACCAGUUUGCUGUCUUCCAACACCUUGUUAUAUCCUGUCACCUGAUGUCUGUGGCCAAUCAGGGAGGAUCACUUUAACCCAGGUGGCAUCAAUCUCCCCUCGUUUGGAGCUGAUUCGUGGUCAAUUGUACUUUGACAACAGAUGUGGAUCAAAUGUGCCAACCAAAACAUAACAUACAUUAUAGUUAUUCUUUGGAACUGGCUAACAUUACAGCAGGAAACGAAAGAGAAAAAUAAUGAGAAGAAAGACCUCUUAAAGGGGAAGUGCACUCCUUCUCCUUAAAGGGUCAGGGAAUUAAAGUCCCCCUACAGAAAAGAAGACUAGACACAAGUGAACAAGCAUUUUUCAAACAUCACAAGUUGACGCCUCAUAUAAAUGUUGAACAGAUAAGGAAAAGGGAAUUACAUAUUAGGAGUGGAGAAAAUAGGCUCCAUGACACUCGACCACCAGGACACCCCACCUUUGCAUUUUUAGAAUGUAUUUGUUAAUGAAUUUUGAUUAAUUGAUUGACAAAUUAUUCUUUGUUUUUGAAUAGAAGAUGCACAGACUGUUGGAUGAGCAGUCUCUGCUCUGCUCUCAGCUCAGCGUCCCCGCAUCCCCAAGCCCCGCCCCCAACAGGACGGUGGCCACGCAGUGCUGUCUGCUGCCCUGGAUCCCUCCAGCUGACCUGCAGAGCGCUCACGUCUCCUCCUGGAGAACCUGGGAUGCGUACUCCCUCAGACAGUCACCUCCUGGAUCAAAGUGCAUGUGUGAGGGCCUGCGCUGUUCUCACACUAAGGCAGAUAAGCUGGACAUGAUGGGCAUCCUCCAGAGAGUAAGGACAUCUUUACGCACUCUAACGAAGGUCUGAGGUCUAACGAAGCUUGAUGAAGCUCCACAGUGCACAUAUUCAGAAGAAAGUAGUUCUGCAACACAAUCAAUCAACAUGUAUUUUGUAAUAAAUAGCUUUAAAUAUUCUUGUAUUUCUGUGACUCCCUGUGAAGGUUUUUACAGUAGAACCUUGUUUAAUAUUAUUCUGUAAAUUGCCGUCCUCUCGCUCAGACAGUUUUUCCCACAAUGCCUCAGUGUGUCAGUGUGCAUUAAGGAGGCUGUAGGCGGUCAAGCCUGAAGCCAGCUCAGCAGGCAGUGGGUGUGUUUACCCGGCUGUUAGCUUGUCCUCCCACUACAAUCAAAAUGUUCCACCUGGCUGCCAAAUAUGCAAACUGAUCUCUGCAUGUGAAACUGUGACACACAGCAAGCACAGCAGUCUGGACAAACAAUGAGCAGCCCUGUAACAAGCUGCUGAUUUCAAAUAAUCUGUAUACUUUAACCUUCACUGUUACUUUAGUGAUACUGUAGGAUCGUUAAUGUCUCACUGUCCCCCUCUCGGUGAGUGCAGUAUAUGCAGGAUACCAUGAUGGAUGGCAGCCACCAUAUACACAGAGAUGAUAUUCAUUGUGUGAUGUAUUCGAAGUCAUUCUACUUUCUAAAUGUGUGUCCUGUUUUCCAGUUGAAGGAGUCUUUGCGUCAUUCUGUCAACACAGACUCGUUGGAAUAAAAGGUGAGGUGUUAACAUUAGUUAUUUAAUCCUUGUUGAACAGUCUGUAAGAUUGUAAACAUAUUCUAUCCUGAUCCUUUGCAUCACAGCUGCACAGCAAACAACCAGAGCAGAGCAACAACAUAGAGAGUAAUCAUGAUAUCUUUCUGCCGUCCAGCUGAAAUGUGUUCCUGACUAAAGAGUAACAUAGACGAAGCUUAUCUUUAUGAAACAGGUUGUGUUCUGGUUAAUGUGCUGCAACAAAGAAAAGAAGCACGGGUGGCAAAGGGAGUAAAGCAGCUGAAGGGCCACAGGGGCCCAUUGUUGAUCUCAUGCUUUCAAAAUAUGGCUCUGAUAGUUUAAAACAUUUACAAGAGUGGUGUGAGGAAUGUGGUUUUAAGUCUAUUUCCCACAUUUACAUCAACACUGUGGUUAUUGUACUGUAAAUGCUCCGUCUAACUCUUGUAUGAAAGGUGCUACACAAAUAAAUUGUAAUUUAUAAUAAGGAUUCGAAGACAACUCAUCUGUAUUAUUGAGCUUUGUCUUUAUAGUUAACUGUUUCCUCGUCCUGUGUUUCAGCUGCGCCGGAAGUCUUCUGAAGAAGAGGCCUUAUCUUUCCAGAUGUUUCACAUCUGACUCUAGAACCACUAUAAGCUGCAUGAGAUGCAAACUACUGUCUUUGUUGUAAAAGAAAAAUGUAUAAUAAAACAAAAGCAAUAACUACAUAGGGAUGCUUAUUACCAAAUGAUAUUAAUAUAAAUGUAAGAGUUAUUUAAUGAAGAUGUUAUGAAUGCAUGAAUGAAUACCGCCACUACAAUAAACGUUAGAAGAGUGAAGCAUG